CACAACGGAAUAUAAGACGUCCUUAACCGUUUUUACCCUCUUCAGUGUCCUGUCGAUAUGCUGGUGUGCCCCUCAACGGUUCUGCCAGCCUGGAGACCACAAUUCGGGAAGAUGCAACAACGGUCCAGCUGAAGAAAAACCCGCAGUGUGUUCAGAGAUUAACCUGGGUUACUCCUCUUACCCCGUAACCCU